GACGAACGCUGGCGGCGCGCUUAAUACAUGCAAGUCGAGCGAGAACCAGGGCUUCGGCCCUGGGGACAGCGGCGAACGGGUGAGUAACACGUGGGUAAUCAACCCCCGACACCGGGAUAGCCCAGGGAAACUUGGAUUAAUACCGGAUGCCCCGUCUGGCCUUCGGGCCGGCCGGAAAAGGGUAGCUUCGGCCUCUGGUCGGGGACGAGCCCGCGGCGGAUUAGCUUGUUGGUGAGGUAAAGGCUCACCAAGGCGACGAUCCGUAGCUGGUCUGAGAGGACGAUCAGCCACACUGGGACUGAGACACGGCCCAGACUCCUACGGGAGGCAGCAGUAGGGAAUCUUGCGCAAUGGCGAAAGCCUGACGCAGCGACGCCGCGUGAGGGGAGAAGGCCUUCGGGUUGUAAACCUCUUUCAGGAGGGACGAAGCCACUCGGGUUAAUAGCCUAGAGGGUGACGGUACCUCCAGAAGAAGCCCCGGCUAACUACGUGCCAGCCGCCGCCGUAA
rnacentral:rRNA from 1 species